rnacentral:tRNA from 1 species
GAGACGGUGGCCUAAUGGUUAGCGCGCUGGACUCCGGACCAAGCUGUCCGAGUUCAAGUCCUGGCCGGGGUCA